rnacentral:rRNA from 1 species
UACGUAGGGUGCAAGCGUUGUCCGGAAUUAUUGGGCGUAAAGAGUUCGUAGGCGGUUUGUCGCGUCGACUGUGAAAUCCCGCGGCUCAACCGCGGGUCUGCAGUCGAUACGGGCAUCACUGGAGUUCGGCAGGGGAGACUGGAAUUCCUGGUGUAGCGGUGAAAUGCGCAGAUAUCAGGAGGAACACCGGUGGCGAAGGCGGCUCUCUGGGACGGUACUGACGCUGAGACGCGAAAGCGUGGGGAGCGAACAGG